AUUGAACGCUGGCGGCAUGCCUAACACAUGCAAGUCGAACGGUAACGACGGGAGCUUGCUCCCGGGCGACGAGUGGCGGACGGGUGAGUAAUACUUAGGAAUCUGCCCAGUAGUGGGGGACAACUCGAGGAAACUCGAGCUAAUACCGCAUACGCCCUACGGGGGAAAGCGGGGGAUCUUCGGACCUCGCGCUAUUGGAUGAGCCUAAGUCGGAUUAGCUUGUAGGUAGGGUAACGGCCUACCUAGGCGACGAUCCGUAGCUGGUCUGAGAGGACGAUCAGCCACACUGGAACUGAGACACGGUCCAGACUCCUACGGGAGGCAGCAGUGGGGAAUAUUGGACAAUGGGCGCAAGCCUGAUCCAGCAAUGCCGCGUGUGUGAAGAAGGCCUGCGGGUUGUAAAGCACUUUCAGUGGAGAAGAAAAGCUUACGGUUAAUACCCGUGAGUCUUGACGUAACCCACAGAAGAAGCACCGGCUAACUCCGUG
rnacentral:rRNA from 1 species